CAACUUCAGUGUUGUUUUCUCUUGCAUCAAGUGGGUCGACCAUCUUUCAAUAACAUGAAGGGCUAAAUUAUUCAUAAU